GUGUCAGCCGCCGCGGUAAUACGUAGGGGGCUAGCGUUGUCCGGAAUCAUUGGGCGUAAAGAGCGUGUAGGCGGCCCGGUAAGUCCGCUGUGAAAGUCGGGGGCUCAACCCUCGAAUGCCGGUGGAUACUGUCGGGCUAGAGUGCGGAAGAGGCGAGUGGAAUUCCUGGUGUAGCGGUGAAAUGCGCAGAUAUCAGGAGGAACACCGAUUGCGAAGGCAGCUCGCUGGGACGUAACUGACGCUGAGACGCGAAAGCGUGGGGAGCAAACAGGAUUAGAUACCCUGGUAGUCC
rnacentral:rRNA from 1 species